CCAUGGAGCCCCCCAUAUCUCACAGCCAGCAGCAGUUCCAGCUCUGUGCGCAGCAGCAGCAGCUCUGCGGUCACGGCAGCCACGCGCUGUGGGUCCGGCUGUGCCCCGGGGGGGAAACUGCGGCCCUGGGGACCCCCCUGCGUGUAACCCAGCUGGGACAGCACCUGCGGGGCACCACAGGGCUCUAUGAGGUGGUUAUGAGGCUGUAUGGGGCCCUAUGGGGCUCUAUGGGGUGACUAUGGGGCUCUAUGGGGUCUAUGGAGUGGCUGUGUGGCUCUAUAAGGCACUAUAGGGCUCUAUAAGGUUCUAUGAGGCUCUAUGGGGCUCUACGGGACCAUGGCACUCUAUGGGGUGGUUAUGGGGCUCUAUGGGGGCGCUAUGGGGUGGUUAUGGGGCGCUGUGGGGCGCCUAUGGGGCGCUAUGGGGUGCCUAUGGGGCUCUAUGGGUCUAUGGAGUGGCUGUGCAGCUCUAUAAGGCACUGUAGGGCUCUAUAGCGUUGCUAUGGGGCUCUAUGGGGUGGCUUUGGGGCGCUAUGGGGUGCCUAUGGGGCUCUACGGGGUCUAUGGAGUGGCUGUGCGGCUCUAUAAGGCACUGUAGGGCUCUAUAGCGUUGCUAUCGGGCUCUAUGGGGUGGCUUUGGGGCGCUGUAGGGUGCCUAUGGGGCUCUAUGGGGUCUAUGGAGUGGCUGUGCAGCACUAUAAGGCACUACAGGGCUCUAUGACGUGCCUAUGGGGCUCUACGGGGUCUAUGGAGUGGCUAUGAGGCUCUAUGAGGUAGUUAUGAGGCUGUAUGGGGUCCUAUGGGGCUCUAUGGGGUGACUAUGGGGCUCUAUGGGGUCUAUGGAGUGGCUGUGUGGCUCUAUAAGGCACCAUAGGGCUCUAUAAGGUUUUAUGAGGCUCUAUGGGGCUCUACGGGACCAUGGCACUCUAUGGGGUGGUUAUGGGGCUCUAUGGGGGCGCUAUGGGGUGGUUAUGGGGCGCUGUGGGGUGCCUAUGGGGCUCUAUGGGGUGCCUAUGGGGCUCUAUGGGGUCUAUGGAGUGGCUGUGCAGCACUAUAAGGCACUACAGGGCUCUGUGGGGUGGCUAUGGGGCUCUAUGGGGCUCUAUGCAUUGGUUAUAGGGCUCUAUGGCCCUAUGGGGCGGCUAUGGGGCUCUAUGGGGUGCCUAUGGGGCUCUAUGAGGGGUCUAUGGGGGGGUUAUGGGGCUCUAUGGGGUCUAUGGCAUGCCUAUGGAACUCUAUGGGGUCUAUGGAGUGGCUGUGCGGCUCUAUAAGGCAAUGCAGGGUUCUGUGGGGUUGCUAUGGGGUGGCUAUGGGGCUCUAUGGGGGCACUAUGGGGUGGUUAUGGGGCGCUGUGGUGUGCCUAUGGGGCUCUAUGGGGUGCCUAUGGGGCUCUAUCGGGUCUAUGUAGCGGGUGCGCGGCACUAUAAGGCACUAUAGGGCUAUAUGAGGUGCCUAUGGGGCUCUAUGGGGUCUAUGGAGUGGCUAUGUGGCUCUAUGGGGUGGUUAUGAGGCUGUAUGGGGGCCCUAUGGGGCUCAAUGGGACUAUGGCGCUCUAUGGGGUGGCUUUGGGGCUCUAUGGGGCCCUAUGGGGUGGUAAUGGGGCUUUUCGGGUGCGUGGCCUACACUCUUUGGGGGGCGUGGCCUACACUCUUGGAGGCGUGGCCAGUUAAGUCUGGGGGCGUGGCCAAUGAACCUUGAGUGGGCGGGGCCAACCGAGCCUGGGGGCGUGGCCGUAU
ensembl:lncRNA